rnacentral:rRNA from 1 species
CAGUCGCCGCGGUAAAACGAAGGGGGCUAGCGUUGUUCGGAUUUACUGGGCGUAAAGGGCGCGUAGGCGGACUGAUAAGUCAGGGGUGAAAUCCCAAGGCUCAACCUUGGAACUGCCUUUGAUACUGUUUGUCUUGAGUUCGAGAGAGGUAAGUGGAACUGCGAGUGUAGAGGUGAAAUUCGUAGAUAUUUGCAAGAACACCAGUGGCGAAGGCGGCUUACUGGCUCGAAACUGACGCUGAGGCGCGAAAGCGUGGGGAGCAAACAGGAUUAGAUACCCCUGUAGUCCCUGUCUCUUAUAC